UUUAAUCAAACGCAGCUCUAGAAUUGCUAUAAAAUUAAAAAAAAAAAAAAAACCCCUAAAUCUCAACACAAUUGAUCCGAAACCCUUGAAAAAUCACUCUCAGCUCUCUCAACCUAGCUCCCCGAUCUCUAAUCUGGCCGCCGUGCCCGCACAACCUCUCGCCGCCGUGCACUCAACCAACCCACAAGCCUCACGCCUUUUAGCCUCCCUCGUCAAUCGGUGAGGAUUCAAUUGGGUCAGGGAUCAGCAGGCUCGGUAGCGAGGAACAUGCUUAAGGAGGAGGGCUUUGGUGCCUUUUACAAGCAUUGUCUAUAUGUACUACUGUUGGAGAUAUGGCUCACAAACUUGCAUACUUUGUGCCUGAUUCGAUGUCAGUCUGGAAUCUUCUUAGAGAGUUCCAAAUCAGGAAAGUUCACAUGUCUGUUGUCCUUAAUGAAUAUGGUGGAACUGAGGGAGUGUUUGAUGUGGAUGCAAACACUUCGAUGUGGAUGCAAACACUUCUAUUGAUUAGCUUUCUGAAGAUUUAAACGUCAAAAUGCCUGAGGUAUAUUACAACUCUAUUGAUUUAAAUUAUUAUUCUGAAAAGUAAAAUGUCAGGGGUACAUUAUUCUUUUUUAAAUGCUAAAUUCUUUUUCUUGGUCUGCAUUAUAAAGUAUCAGUGCCCAUGCCUAUUCCCUCCUGGUUUCUCUAGUCCAACUACAAUUGGUUGAAGGAAUCUAUCUAGUCCAGCCAUUUCUUUGUGGUAGUUCACCUGUUUAACCAUUAUUUAUGAAUUUGUUACUAAUAGUUGUAACAAUUGUUUCUCUAAUUUUUAAAGAUAUAUUCUUUUGGAAAUGUCUAGUUGAAAUGAGAAUAUUAAGAAGGAUAAGUGAAAGUACAAGGAAAAAUAGGAUUUAAAAUGAAGAAAUAUGCUUAAAGAUAGGGAUGGCCCCUAUUGAUAAUGAAAAUAUUUUUUUGAUAAAUCUGUUGAUAAUGAAACUUUUUCCAA